CGAGCGCAACCCUUGUCCUUAGUUACCAGCACGUUAUGGUGGGCACUCUAAGGAGACUGCCGGUGACAAACCGGAGGAAGUGGGGAUGACGUCAAGUCAUCAUGGCCCUUACGGCCUGGGCUACACACGUGCUACAAUGGUCGGUACAAAGGGUUGCCAAGCCGCGAGGUGGAGCUAAUCCCAUAAAACCGAUCGUAGUCCGGAUCGCAGUCUGCAACUCGACUGCGUGAAGUCGGAAUCGCUAGUAAUCGUGAAUCAGAAUGUCACGGUGAAUACGUUCCCGGGCCUU
rnacentral:rRNA from 1 species